rnacentral:ncRNA from 2 species
UCGAAAAAAAGAAUAUCCUCUCAUAUAAUUUCCGUAAUAUGGUCGGAAAGUAUCUACCAGAUAACCGUAAAUUGUCUGACUAUGAGUGAAAUUUGUCUAAGU